UCGGACGCAGUUGUCAACAAUCAAAACAGCCGCCAUAUUUUGCCUCUUGUUGUAACGCUCCUGGGCUUCCUCCUUCACCUUCCCCUCUGGUAUGCCUAGGAGAUCAAAAUAAGGAUAGAUAUCAGUGUAGAGAGGAUAGGAUGCACACCUCUAACCCAUCGCCUUGUUUUGUGUCACGUUUAGUUAUGGAUCGUGAGUAUGAGAGGCGUCUUCUCAGGCAACAAAAUGGACCUGUCUCAUCACCAGCAUCACCAUUGUCACCCCGACGCCAGCUGGCCCACAUUUCAGUGCAAUCCCCCAGCAAAGACCGCACUGGGGACAGAUUCAUCCCCACACGAGUAGGUGCCAACUGGGAUGUUAACUUUGCUCUGAUUCAGGAGAACAACAAAGCCAACAGUGAGGUGCGGAAAGGGCGUGAGGGAGGAGAAGGCAAGGAUGGAGUAGCCUACACAACUCUACUGAGGAAUGAACUCUUGGGCACAAGCAUUGAGGAUCUUCGAGACACUCCUGAUGAAAGAAGAGCGCUGUCACCUGUUCAGAGUCCCAACUUGUACCAUUUCUCUCCUCGCAAAAAUCAGCAGCGGGAGGACACACUGUCACCCUAUUCCCUCUCCCCUGUUAGUGCCAAGAGCCAAAAACUGCUGAGAUCCCCAAGGAAGGCAGCACGCAAAAUAUCAAAGAUACCAUUUAAGGUACUUGAUGCUCCAGAGUUACAGGAUGACUUUUACCUCAACCUGGUGGACUGGAGCUCUCAAAAUGUUCUCUCUGUAGGAUUAGGUCACUGUGUGUACUUGUGGUCAGCAUACACCUCACAGGUCACUCGGCUGUGUGACCUUUCCCCCGAUGGUGACACAGUGACCUCAGUGUCUUGGUCAGAAAGGGGCAACCAGGUGGCAGUAGGCACACACAAAGGGUUGGUGCAGGUAUGGGACGUGGCCAGCAGCAAGCGAGUGUGCAUUCUGAACGGUCACACAGCUCGUGUUGGAGCACUGGCGUGGAAUGGGGAUGUCCUAUCCUCAGGUUCCCGGGACAGACUAAUCCUUCAACGUGAUGUAAGGACUCCCUGCAUCAUCCCAGAUCGCAGGCUAGCUGGACACCGGCAGGAAGUGUGUGGGCUAAAGUGGUCACCGGACAGCCAAUACCUGGCCUCAGGUGGGAAUGACAACAAGUUAUUUGUGUGGAAUCUUCACUCUCUCACAGCUGUUCAGACGUACACUGAGCACAAUGCAGCAGUAAAAGCUAUUGCUUGGUCACCACACCACCAUGGGCUGUUGGCUAGUGGUGGUGGAACAGCUGAUCGCUGCAUACGUUUCUGGAACACCUUGACAGGACAACCGAUGCAGUGCAUUGACACUGGAUCUCAAGUUUGCAAUCUGGCAUGGUCCAAACACGCAUCAGAACUGGUAUCCACUCAUGGAUAUAGUCAGAACCAGAUCUUGGUGUGGCGUUACCCACUCCUUGCCCAGGUGGCCAAGCUUACCGGCCACACGUACCGGGUGCUGUACCUUGCCAUGUCGCCAGAUGGGGAGGCUAUUGUUACUGGUGCUGGGGAUGAGACUCUGCGCUUCUGGAAUGUCUUCAGUAAAGCACGCUCUCAGAAGGAAUCCAAGUCUGCACUCAACCUCUUCACAUCUCUGCGAUAACUGAAGGAGGAGAGGAGGAGGAGGAGGAGGAGGGAGGAAGAGGAGAAGGAGGAGGAGGUAACAGUGGUGGUGGUGACAGCAGCAAAAGAGGCUGCUAGUUUCAUGUUUGUACAUACUGGGGCAUCAGGUGACUGCUUUGUAAACAGUCAAAUUUUUCAUAAAUAUAUAUGUAUGUAUAUUUAUCAGAUGUAUUAUAAUGUAUAUACUUUAAGUAUGUUGUACAUCAUUGUUCUUUCUACAUCAUCUUAGAAUAACUAACUUCUUUUACAAAUGCUUCAUAUUUGUACUAUUGUUUUAGCUAUAUUAAUUUUUCUAUGUUUAUCACGAAACACUUCGUCACUUUUUUUUUUUUUUUUUUUUUUUUUUUUUGUGUGUGUGUGUGUGUGUGUGUGUGUGUGUGUGUGUGUGUAAAGUGAAUGUUCAUCUCACACUGAUCUUCUCAGGUAUGAGGACAUGUUAUCAGUAUCAUUACACAGACUGACAGUAAACAGUGCCCAAAUGUUCAAAGUAUUGAUUGGUGUUUGAGAACACAUAGAGGCAUUUCCAUAGAGGCUCCUCAGACUAUGAUCUGCAAAAUGUAAACAAUAGGUCUGAAUUGCAACAUAUGUUUCUUUCAUUGUACAACUCUAGUGUGUGAAAUUUUUUAAUUCUAUAUUUACUGGCCAGGGGAAAGAAGAGGGCAUGAAAAGCACACUGUAUACAUGCACAUUGCCUAUUGCAUUCUCUGACUUACCUAGGGAAAAGAAGAAAAUUACAGGAGUAUAGUCCUAGGUAUUUGUUGUUUGAGACAUAGGGCAUAGCAGAUUGUGGAAUGAAGUGCCUCAUGUGGCAUUGUUUUUGUCAGUAACCAAAAGACUUAAUAGCAGCUGUAGCUAUAUUUUGUGAGUAAUUUUUUGUUCUCUAUUUUUAAUCCCUUUAAUAUGAACAUUUCCUUGUUCGGUAAUCUGCCUCUUCAUAUAGUAUGGUCUUGUGUGUGUGUGUGUGUGUGUGUGUGUGUGUGUGUGUGUGUGUGUA
rnacentral:misc_RNA from 1 species